ensembl:snoRNA SNORA66 Small nucleolar RNA SNORA66
UUGCAAACUCGAUCACUAGCUCUGCAUGAUGUUGCAGAAGCGAGGGGAACAGGUUUGCUAAAGUAAACAUGGUAAUAGAACUGUUAUUAGCCUUAGAAAUCAAAUUAUUGGGGCUGUUAAUUCUAUACCAUGAUAAGG